rnacentral:rRNA from 1 species
CGCGUGAGGGAUGACGGCCUUCGGGUUGUAAACCUCUUUUAGCAGGGAAGAAGCGAAAGUGACGGUACCUGCAGAAAAAGCGCCGGCUAACUACGUGCCAGCAGCCGCGGUAAUACGUAGGGCGCAAGCGUUAUCCGGAAUUAUUGGGCGUAAAGAGCUCGUAGGCGGUUUGUCGCGUCUGCUGUGAAAUCCCGAGGCUCAACCUCGGGCCUGCAGUGGGUACGGGCAGACUAGAGUGCGGUAGGGGAGAUUGGAAUUCCUGGUGUAGCGGUGGAAUGCGCAGAUAUCAGGAGGAACACCGAUGGCGAAGGCAGAUCUCUGGGCCGUAACUGACGCUGAGGAGCGAAAGGGUGGGGAGCAAACAGGCUUAGAUACCCUGGUAGUCCACCCCGUAAACGUUGGGAACUAGUUGUGGGGUCCAUUCCACGGAUUCCGUGACGCAGCUAACGCAUUAAGUUCCCCGCCUGGGGAGUACGGCCGCAAGGCUAAAACUCAAAGGAAUUGACGGGGACCCGCACAAGCGGCGGAGCAUGCGGAUUAAUUCGAUGCAACGCGAAGAACCUUACCAAGGCUUGACAUAUACGAGAACGGGCCAGAAAUGGUCAACUCUUUGGACACUCGUAAACAGGUGGUGCAUGGUUGUCGUCAGCUCGUGUCGUGAGAUGUUGGGUUAAGUCCCGCAACGAGCGCAACCC